AUUGAACGCUGGCGGCAGGCCUAACACAUGCAAGUCGAACGAGUGGCGGACGGGUGAGUAAUGUCUGGGAACCUGCCUGAUGGAGGGGGAUAACUACUGGAAACGGUAGCUAAUACCGCAUACCAUCGGAUGUGCCCAGAUGGGAUUAGCUAGUAGGUGGGGGAACGGCUCACCUAGGCGACGAUCCCUAGCUGGUCUGAGAGGAUGACCAGCCGCACUGGAACUGAGACACGGUCCAGACUCCUACGGGAGGCAGCAGUGGGGAAUUUUGCGCAAUGGGCGAAAGCCUGAUGCAGCCAGGCCGCGUGUAUGAAGAAGGCCUUCGGGUUGUAAAGCACUUUCAGCGGGGAGGCGUUACCCGCAGAAGAAGCACCGGCUAACUCCGUGCCAGCAGCCGCGGUAAUUC
rnacentral:rRNA from 1 species